rnacentral:rRNA from 1 species
AUUGAACGCUGGCGGCAGGCCUAACACAUGCAAGUCGAGCGGAGCGGCGGACGGGUGAGUAAUACCUAGGAAUCUGCCUGGUAGUGGGGGAUAACGUCCGGACACGGUCGCUAAUACCGAUUACUAUCAGAUGAGCCUAGGUCGGAUUAGCUAGUUGUUGGGGUAAAGGCAUACCAAGGCGACGAUCCGUAACUGGUCUGAGAGGAUGAUCAGUCACGCUGGAACGGAGACACGGUCCAGACUCCUACGUGAGGCAGGAGUGGGGAAUAUUGGACAAUGGGCGAAAGCCUGAUCCAGCCAUGCGGCGUGUGUGAAGAAAGUCUUCGGAUUGUAAAGCACUUUAAGUUGGGAGGCGUUACCAACAGAAUAAGCACCGGCUAACUCCGUGCCAGCAGCCGCGGUAAUAC